rnacentral:rRNA from 1 species
CAGAAGCGAAGGGGCUGUACCUAAAUUGUCAAGAAAAACUUCUAGUGAGGACUGUGGUGCCCGUACCGUAAACCGACACAGGUAGGCAGGAAGAGAAUUCUAAGGUGCGCGGGAAAACCCUCGUUAAGGAACUCGGCAAAAUAUAUCCGUAACUUCGGGAAAAGGAUAGCCCAGAGUAGGUGAAGCGCAGAAACGCGCGGAGCUGGAAUGGGCGGCAGAAGAGAGGCCCAAGCGACUGUUUACCACAAACACAGGCGUCUGCUAAAGGGAAACCUGAAGUAUAGAUGCUGACACCUGCCCGGUGCUGGAAGGUUAAGAGGAAGUGUUAGCGCAAGCGAAGCAGUGAAUUGAAGCCCCAGUAAACGGCGGCCGUAACUAUAACGGUCCUAAGGUAGCGAAAUUCCUUGUCGGGUAAGUUCCGACCCGCACGAAAGGUGUAACGAUUUGGGCACUGUCUCAACGAGGGACCCGGUGAAAUUGAAGUACCUGUGAAGAUGCAGGUUACCCGCGACUGGACAGAAAGACCCCAUGGAGCUUUACUGUAACCUGAGAUUGAAUUUUGGUAAGAGACGUACAGGAUAGGUGGGAGGCAGAGAAGUGAGUACGCCAGUAUUCACGGAGCCGCUGGUGGGAUACCACCCUUGUUUUACUGAAAUUCUAACGAAAAGCGUAACGAGCUUGCGGACAGUCUCAGGCGGGCAGUUUGACUGGGGCGGUCGCCUCCAAAAGAGUAACAGAGGCGCCCAAAGGUUCCCUCAGCGCGGACGGAAACCGCGCGAAGAGUGCAAAGGCAGAAGGGAGCUUGACUGCGAGACGGACAGGUCGAGCAGGGACGAAAGUCGGGCUUAGUGAUCCGGUGGCAUCCGAGUGGAAGGGCCAUCGCUCAACGGAUAAAAGCUACCCUGGGGAUAACAGGCUUAUCUCUCCCAAGAGUCCAUAUCGACGGGGAGGUUUGGCACCUCGAUGUCGGCUCAUCACAUCCUGGGGCUGAAGUAGGUCCCAAGGGUUGGGCUGUUCGCCCAUUAAAGUGGUACGCGAGCUGGGUUCAGAACGUCGUGAGACAGUUCGGUCCCUAUCCAUCGCGGGCGGAAGAAACUUGAAAGGGGCUGCUCCUAGUACGAGAGGACCGGAGUGGACGGACCAAUGGUGUACCAGUCAUACCGCCAGGUGUGCAGCUGGGUAGCUACGUCCGGGACGGAUAAACGCUGAAAGCAUCUAAGCGUGAAACCAGCCUAAAGAUGAGGUUUCUCAUUACGUAAGUAAGUAAGGUCCCACAGAGACGAUGUGGUUGAUAGGCCGGGAGUGGAAGUACAGUGAUGUAUGGAGCGGACCGGUACUAAUAGACCGAGGACUUGACUU